AAGCUGAUCUGCCCUGGGUAAGUCGGGACCUAAGGCGAGGUCGAAAGACGUAGCCGAUGGACAACAGGUUGAAAUUCCUGUACUGCGAUAUAUCAGAAAUGUGGGGACACAGAAGGAAAGUGUGAGCCGGGAAAGGAAAGACCGGUGCAAGCACAGGAGGAGAGAUACAGGCAAAUCCGUAUCUUAAUCCAAUGGUGUUACGCGGAGCGAACAAAAGUAGCGAAGCACAUGGACCAUCUGUCGAGAAAAGCCGCUAUUGUGUAUACCGUACCCGUACCGUAAACCGACACAGGUGGAUGAGGAGAGAAUCCUAAGGCCGGCGGGAGAAGCAUUGUUAAGGAACUCGGCAAAAUGACCCCGUAACUUCGGGAGAAGGGGUGCUCCAGAGAUGGAGCCGCAGAGAACUGGCCCAAGCAACUGUUUAGCAAAAACACAGGUCUAUGCAAAACCGAAAGGUGAGGUAUAUGGGCUGACGCCUGCCCGGUGCUGGAAGGUUAAGAGGAGAGGUUAGCGCAAGCGAAGCUUUGAAUUUAAGCCCCAGUAAACGGCGGCCGUAACUAUAACGGUCCUAAGGUAGCGAAAUUCCUUGUCGGGUAAGUUCCGACCCGCACGAAAGGCGUAAUGAUUUGGGCACUGUCUCGACAAUGCACCCGGUGAAAUUGAAAUACCAGUGAAGAUGCUGGUUACCUGCGCCAGGACGGAAAGACCCCAUGGAGCUUUACUCUAGCUUGAUACUGGGAUUCGGUAUUGCAUGUACAGGAUAGGUGGGAGACUGAGAAGUGAUGACGCCAGUUGUCACAGAGUCGAUGUUGGGAUACCACCCCUGCAGUACUGGGUUUCUAACCUGCGGCCGUGACCCGGCCGGGGGACAAUGUCUGGUGGGGAGUUUGACUGGGGCGGUCGCCUCCGAAAGGGUAUCGGAGGCGCUCAAAGGUUCCCUCAGAAUGGUUGGAAACCAUUCGAAGAGUGCAAAGGCAGAAGGGAGCUUGACUGCGACACCGACGGGUGGAGCAGGUACGAAAGUAGGACUUAGUGAUCCGGUGGUAUGAAAGUGGGAUUGCCAUCGCUCAACGGAUAAAAGCUACCCUGGGGAUAACAGGCUUAUCACUCCCAAGAGUUCACAUCGACGGAGUGGUUUGGCACCUCGAUGUCGGCUCAUCGCAUCCUGGGGCUGUAGUAGGUCCCAAGGGUUGGGCUGUUCGCCCAUUAAAGCGGUACGCGAGCUGGGUUCAGAACGUCGUGAGACAGUUCGGUCCCUAUCCGGCGUGGGCGUAGGAUAUCUGAGAGGAGCUGUCCUUAGUACGAGAGGACCGGGAUGGACUGACCUCUGGUGCAUCGGUUGAGCCACCAGGCUCAUGGCCGAGUAGCCAAGUCGGGACGGGAUAAACGCUGAAGGCAUCUAAGCGUGAAGCCCCCCUCAAGAUGAGAUAUCCCAUAGAGUUAAUCUAGUAAGACCCCUUGAAGACGACGAGGUAGAUAGGCAGAAGGUGGAAGUGUGGUGACACAUGGAGCUGAGCUGUACUAAUAGGUCGAGGGCUUAACCG
rnacentral:rRNA from 1 species